rnacentral:sRNA from 1 species
CUCUCAUUUCCCUCUGGCUACCUCCCCUCCCCUCCCAGAUCUGGCGGAGGGGAGGGGCGUCGGCAGUGGCGCAGGAAGAGGGGGCGGUGGCGGUAGCGUCGGCGUUGGCGCGGCCGGAUGGGAGAUUGACCCGCACGUCCACAUCUCAUCAAUAUUUUGGACCUGCACUGGAGUAAGCAGAUCAACCAGGCCGUUGUGUUCGUCGACUUAGUCCGUGCCAACACAAAUCUGGUACCAUCGGCCGAGCACGGAUUUUGCGUCAAUAGUUUUUGAAGAUUUGGGGUACAGCAAUAAAGUGUGUGUUCUACUAAAUUCAACCAAGUUGAGUUUUCCAUUUUUAGACCUAGUAUCAAUUUCAUCAACGAUCAAUGAGCAGUACGGGGCCUAAACUCGUCACAAAUGUCAAGGAUACAUCAUUGCUAUAGAUAUUUCCAGUGUAAAACGUUAUCGGUCAAAAAUGAUAGUGGAAGUCUUGUACUUCCCGAUUUCGUACGAAUUUGAGGCAAACAUAUGUGUUGACUAAUAUAAUGGAAUGGACUUCCAUUGUCGAGGAAGUUACCACGU